rnacentral:rRNA from 2 species
GGGUUGUGAGGUUAAGCGACUAAGCGUACACGGUGGAUGCCCUGGCAGUCAGAGGCGAUGAAGGGCGUGCUAAUCUGCGAUAAGCGCCGGUAAGGUGAUAUGAACCGUUAUAACCGGCGAUACCCGAAUGGGGAAACCCAGUGUGAUUCGUCACACUAUCAUUAACUGAAUCCAUAGGUUAAUGAGGCGAACCGGGGGAACUGAAACAUCUAAGUACCCCGAGGAAAAGAAAUCAACCGAGAUUCCCCCAGUAGCGGCGAGCGAACGGGGAGGAGCCCAGAGCCUGAAUCAGCAUGUGUGUUAGUGGAAGCGUCUGGAAAGGCGCGCGAUACAGGGUGACAGCCCCGUACACAAAAGCGCAUGUGCUGUGAGCUCGAUGAGUAGGGCGGGACACGUGGUAUCCUGUCUGAAUAUGGGGGGACCAUCCUCCAAGGCUAAAUACUCCUGACUGACCGAUAGUGAACCAGUACCGUGAGGGAAAGGCGAAAAGAACCCCGGCGAGGGGAGUGAAAAAGAACCUGAAACCGUGUACGUACAAGCAGUGGGAGCACCCUUCGGGGUGUGACUGCGUACCUUUUGUAUAAUGGGUCAGCGACUUAUAUUCUGUAGCAAGGUUAACCGUAUAGGGGAGCCGGAGGGAAACCGAGUCUUAAUUGGGCGUUAAGUUGCAGGGUAUAGACCCGAAACCCGGUGAUCUAGCCAUGGGCAGGUUGAAGGUUGGGUAACACUAACUGGAGGACCGAACCGACUAAUGUUGAAAAAUUAGCGGAUGACCUGUGGCUGGGGGUGAAAGGCCAAUCAAACCGGGAGAUAGCUGGUUCUCCCCGAAAGCUAUUUAGGUAGCGCCUCGUGAAUUCAUCUCCGGGGGUAGAGCACUGUUUCGGCUAGGGGGCCAUCCCGGCUUACCAACCCGAUGCAAACUGCGAAUACCGGAGAAUGUUAUCACGGGAGACACACGGCGGGUGCUAACGUCCGUCGUGAAGAGGGAAACAACCCAGACCGCCAGCUAAGGUCCCAAAGUCAUGGUUAAGUGGGAAACGAUGUGGGAAGGCCCAGACAGCCAGGAUGUUGGCUUAGAAGCAGCCAUCAUUUAAAGAAAGCGUAAUAGCUCACUGGUCGAGUCGGCCUGCGCGGAAGAUGUAACGGGGCUAAACCAUGCACCGAAGCUGCGGCAGCGAACGUAUCACCCAAGACAACUUUACGGAGUUGACGAUUGACGGAGCGAAGCGACGUCAAAGCGUUCAUUAAAGUCGAGUUGGCUUAGGGAUACGUUCGUUGGGUAGGGGAGCGUUCUGUAAGCCUGUGAAGGUGUGUCGUGAGGCAUGCUGGAGGUAUCAGAAGUGCGAAUGCUGACAUAAGUAACGAUAAAGCGGGUGAAAAGCCCGCUCGCCGGAAGACCAAGGGUUCCUGUCCAACGUUAAUCGGGGCAGGGUGAGUCGACCCCUAAGGCGAGGCCGAAAGGCGUAGUCGAUGGGAAACGGGUUAAUAUUCCCGUACUUGGUGUUACUGCGAAGGGGGGACGGAGAAGGCUAUGUUGGCCGGGCGACGGUUGUCCCGGUUUAAGCGUGUAGGUGUGUGUUCCAGGUAAAUCCGGUUCACUUUAACACUGAGGCGUGACGACGAGGCACUACGGUGCUGAAGCAACAAAUGCCCUGCUUCCAGGAAAAGCCUCUAAGCAUCAGGUAACAUCAAAUCGUACCCCAAACCGACACAGGUGGUCAGGUAGAGAAUACCAAGGCGCUUGAGAGAACUCGGGUGAAGGAACUAGGCAAAAUGGUGCCGUAACUUCGGGAGAAGGCACGCUGACACGUAGGUGAAGUGAUUUACUCAUGGAGCUGAAGUCAGUCGAAGAUACCAGCUGGCUGCAACUGUUUAUUAAAAACACAGCACUGUGCAAACACGAAAGUGGACGUAUACGGUGUGACGCCUGCCCGGUGCCGGAAGGUUAAUUGAUGGGGUCAGCGCAAGCGAAGCUCCUGAUCGAAGCCCCGGUAAACGGCGGCCGUAACUAUAACGGUCCUAAGGUAGCGAAAUUCCUUGUCGGGUAAGUUCCGACCUGCACGAAUGGCGUAAUGAUGGCCAGGCUGUCUCCACCCGAGACUCAGUGAAAUUGAACUCGCUGUGAAGAUGCAGUGUACCCGCGGCAAGACGGAAAGACCCCGUGAACCUUUACUAUAGCUUGACACUGAACAUUGAGCCUUGAUGUGUAGGAUAGGUGGGAGGCUUUGAAGUGUGGACGCCAGUCUGCAUGGAGCCGACCUUGAAAUACCACCCUUUAAUGUUUGAUGUUCUAACGUGGACCCGUAAUCCGGGUUGCGGACAGUGUCUGGUGGGUAGUUUGACUGGGGCGGUCUCCUCCUAAAGAGUAACGGAGGAGCACGAAGGUUGGCUAAUCCUGGUCGGACAUCAGGAGGUUAGUGCAAUGGCAUAAGCCAGCUUGACUGCGAGCGUGACGGCGCGAGCAGGUGCGAAAGCAGGUCAUAGUGAUCCGGUGGUUCUGAAUGGAAGGGCCAUCGCUCAACGGAUAAAAGGUACUCCGGGGAUAACAGGCUGAUACCGCCCAAGAGUUCAUAUCGACGGCGGUGUUUGGCACCUCGAUGUCGGCUCAUCACAUCCUGGGGCUGAAGUAGGUCCCAAGGGUAUGGCUGUUCGCCAUUUAAAGUGGUACGCGAGCUGGGUUUAGAACGUCGUGAGACAGUUCGGUCCCUAUCUGCCGUGGGCGCUGGAGAACUGAGGGGGGCUGCUCCUAGUACGAGAGGACCGGAGUGGACGCAUCACUGGUGUUCGGGUUGUCAUGCCAAUGGCACUGCCCGGUAGCUAAAUGCGGAAGAGAUAAGUGCUGAAAGCAUCUAAGCACGAAACUUGCCCCGA